rnacentral:rRNA from 1 species
CAGUCAUACCAACGGGAAAUCAACCUAUUGAGCUUGGUCUCAUGGGUUUUGAAGAGUUUCAAAGCCUUCGGAUUCGCGGGAUUGGGAUCUCUUGGUGUACUUUUUCGUACGGUUAGUCAACAUCAGUUUUGAUCACUGGAGAAGGGCUAGUUGAAUGUGGCAUCCUCGGAUGUGUUAUAGCUUCUAGUCAUAUACAGUGGUUGGACUGAGGAACUCAGCACGCCGCAAGGCCGGUUUUAACCACGUACGUGCUUAGGAUGUUGGC